CUACAACUUGGACAUCAAAUGGAACAUUACAUCAAGCAAAACAAUGUAUUUAACAUCUAUGAGGAUUAUUUCACUGAUUCUCCCGAUGUGCAAACGCCAGAUCCGAAUCCUCUGCGAACCCUUCAUAGUUCAUACACGCUGCCCAAUCCUCAACGAUUAGAGCAAACGUCGAUAUUCUUUCGAUCAAUGGUCC